GCAAGUCGAACGCGAAAGUCUCUUCGGAGACGUGUAGAGUGGCGCGCGGGUGUGUAACGCGUGGAUAAUCUACCUAUUGGUACGGGACAACAGUUGGAAACGACUGCUAAUACCGUAUAAGCUGGAAACGGGAAAGGGGGCCUGUUCUUGAAAGCUCUCGCUAGUAGAUGAGUCCGCGUUUGAUUAGCUAGACGGUGGGGUAACGGCCUACCGAGGCAACGAUGAAUAGCAGGCCUGAGAGGGUGGCC
rnacentral:rRNA from 1 species